AUGCAGUCGAGCGGAUGAGAAGAGCUUGCUCUUCGAUUCAGCGGCGGACGGGUGAGUAAUACCUAGGAAUCUGCCUGGUAGUGGGGGACAACGUUUCGAAAGGAACGCUAAUACCGCAUACGCCCUACGGGGGAAAGCAGGGGACCUUCGGGCCUUGCGCUAUCAGAUGAGCCUAGGUCGGAUUAGCUAGUUGGUGAGGUAAUGGCUCACCAAGGCGACGAUCCGUAACUGGUCUGAGAGGAUGAUCAGUCACACUGGAACUGAGACACGGUCCAGACUCCUACGGGAGGCAGCAGUGGGGAAUAUUGGACAAUGGGCGAAAGCCUGAUCCAGCCAUGCCGCGUGUGUGAAGAAGGUCUUCGGAUUGUAAAGCACUUUAAGUUGGGAGGAAGGGCAUUAACCUAAUACGUUAGUGUUUUGACGUUACCGACAGAAUAAGCACCGGCUAACUCUGUGCCAGCAGCCGCGGUAAUACAGAGGGUGCAAGCGUUAAUCGGAAUUACUGGGCGUAAAGCGCGCGUAGGUGGUUCGUUAAGUUGGAUGUGAAAUCCCCGGGCUCAACCUGGGAACUGCAUCCAAAACUGGCGAGCUAGAGUAGGGCAGAGGGUGGUGGAAUUUCCUGUGUAGCGGUGAAAUGCGUAGAUAUAGGAAGGAACACCAGUGGCGAAGGCGACCACCUGGGCUCAUACUGACACUGAGGUGCGAAAGCGUGGGGAGCAAACAG
rnacentral:rRNA from 1 species